GAUCAUGGCUCAGGAUGAACGCUAGCUACAGGCUUAACACAUGCAAGUCGAGGGGCAGCAUGACCUAGCAAUAGGUUGAUGGCGACCGGCGCACGGGUGGGUAACACGUAUCCAACCUACCGGUUAUUCCGGGAUAGCCUUUCGAAAGAAAGAUUAAUACCGGAUAGUAUAACGAGAAGGCAUCUUCUUGCUAUUAAAGAAUUUCGAUAACCGAUGGGGAUGCGUUCCAUUAGUUUGUUGGCGGGGUAACGGCCC
rnacentral:rRNA from 1 species